rnacentral:rRNA from 1 species
GACGAACGCUGGCGGCGUGCUUAACACAUGCAAGUCGAACGGAAAGGCCCUGCUUUUGUGGGGUGCUCGAGUGGCGAACGGGUGAGUAACACGUGAGUAACCUGCCCUUGACUUUGGGAUAACUUCAGGAAACUGGGGCUAAUACCGGAUAGGAGCUCCUGCUGCAUGGUGGGGGUUGGAAAGUUUCGGCGGUUGGGGAUGGACUCGCGGCUUAUCAGCUUGUUGGUGGGGUAGUGGCUUACCAAGGCUUUGACGGGUAGCCGGCCUGAGAGGGUGACCGGCGACAUUGGGACUGAGAUACGGCCCAGACUCCUACGGGAGGCAGCAGCGGGGAAUAUUGCACAAUGGGCGGAAGCCUGAUGCAGCAACGCCGCGUGCGGGAUGACGGCCUUCGGGUUGUAAACCGCUUUCGCCUGUGACGAAGCGUGAGUGACGGUAAUGGGUAAAGAAGCACCGGCUAACUACGUG